AUACUUACCUGUCAGGGGAGAUAAAAUGAUCACCAAGGUGGUUUUCCUAGGGGGAGGCUUCCUCAUUGUGCUCUGGAUGUGUUGAUUCCUCCAAUAUCCCUAAAUAAGGGAAACUCAACUGUAUAAGUUGUGAUAAUAGGGGACUGCAAUUGCACUUUCCAA